UACGUAGGGGGCAAGCGUUGUCCGGAAUCAUUGGGCGUAAAGAGCGUGUAGGCGGCCCGGUCAGUCCGCCGUGAAAGUCCAGGGCUCAACCCUGGAAUGCCGGUGGAUACUGCCGGGCUGGAGUCCGGAAGAGGCGAGUGGAAUUCCUGGUGUAGCGGUGAAAUGCGCAGAUAUCAGGAGGAACACCGAUGGCGAAGGCGGCUCACUGGUCCGGUACUGACGCUGAUGCGCGAAAGCCAGGGGAGCAAACGGG
rnacentral:rRNA from 1 species